CUAUGCCUGAGUUUUUAUGCCAAGGGUUGCACAAGCCUUUUUCUGGGGUUUGCAUGCUAUUCUCCACUUUUAGCUUGUUCUGUUACUGAAAAACAAAAGCUAUGAUAUUUAGCCCAAGUAUUGGUUAUUCUCAAGUUAAAUUUUGUCUUCUGGAUAUUCCAGCUAUACUCUAACUGAGAAAGUUUGCAGAACCACUUUACACCUGUGGGUACAAUGUUUUUCUUUAUUCAUAAAAUUGACAUUUAGCCUACAGAUUUUCUUGAAAUUUCAGCCAGCAUUUAGUACCCAUACCCAGGGGAUGGUGCUGGCCCAAGUCAGACCUCAUCAGAGCUCAGCAUGCAAGUAUGAGGUGGGUAAGAAAAGAGGCAAGAUACACUGUAAAGGGUACUGGUGAAAGAAGAUCAGUGAAGCAGAAAAUAAAGGCUUUACCCGGUUGUUUGGCCCCAAUCCCUCACACUUGCAAGAGCUUUAUGACAACGGUGUAAGUCCUCCUGUGGCACUUAAGGGUGCCACUUCUGGUUCUGUAGCUCUGGUGUUUGGAGAAAAUCGGCUGUGCUGUGCAUAAACUUUGCGAAAUGGAAAAUACCAGAGCACCGCUGAAUCCAAGGGAAAAAUGUUGCUAGCUGAGCAGCGUGGAAGAAGCGGCCUAAGGCAGGCAGGGGUGGCAACACGUGAACUGGUACUCUUCCUAAUAAACGCUUCUGCUUCCAGCCGGCUGCACAGUCAUGAAGGGUAAACAAGCGGUGUUCCGAAGGGGACUGUCGGAGGACAAAAGAAUAUCUUGAAGAAAGUGUUUCUCAAAAUGAAGUCCAAAGACCCAUAAGAAUUCUAAUGUGCGAUCAGUCAUAAACAUGUUAAACAAACACCCUGUGUGAUUAUUCUACAUUGUGAAUAACCUACAGAAAAGAGCAACACUUAAAAGCAACAUCAUAGAGUUGCACAGAACGCGCCGAAUCAGCCCGCUGCAGACAGGCAGGUCUGCGGACGCCUUAGAACGUCGCCAGUUGCAUGGAACAUGCCGAAUCAGCCCGCAGCAAUCCACUGGACAGCGCCCCCCCCCUUCUGUACAGCCACCUGGUUCCACACUACAAAGACACAGAGGACACUGGACCACCAGACCGCUGUACUGGGGCCUUAAACUUCAGAUGAGGCAACAAAAUAGAUCCUUAAAAAGUGAAAUUUCAGAGAUCAUUUAUUAUGGGACAAAUGCACAGAGCUAGAAAGACUUAGAAGACUCCAAUUUGUAAUGUCACCUCUGUGAGGAUUCAUUAUCUGGCAUUCUGCACCCGGCAGAGGGGAUUUCAAGCUCUACUCUCCAUGCAUUUAUAAGUCUCCAGGUCACAAGCCCUGUAAUUCUCUCAAGAAUAUAAAAAAGUAAAAGAGGAGAAGAUCAAGAAGAUAUUCUUAAAA
rnacentral:lncRNA from 1 species